UCAUGGCUCAGGAUGAACGCUGAACAGAACGCUUAACACAUGCAAGUUCAACUCGAACUUCGGUUUCGGGCGGGCGGACGGGUGAGUAACGCGUAAAGAACUUUACCUCACAGAUAGGGACAACAUUUGGAAACGAAUGCUAAUACCUGAUAUUAUGAUUUUAGGGCAUCCUAGAAUUAUGAAAGCUAUAUGCGCUGUGAGAGAGCUUUGCGUCCCAUUAGCUAGUUGGAGAGGUAACGGCUCACCAAGGCGAUGAUGGGUAGCCGGCCUGAGAGGGUGAUCGGCCACAAGGGGACUGAGACACGGCCCUUACUCCUACGGGAGGCAGCAGUGGGGAAUAUUGGACAAUGGACCAAGAGUCUGAUCCAGCAAUUCUGUGUGCACGAUGAAGUUUUUCGGAAUGUAAAGUGCUUUCAGUUGGGAAGAAAGAAAUGACGGUACCAACAGAAGAAGUGACGGCUAAAUACGUGCCAGCAGCCGCGGUAAUACGUAUGUCACGAGCGUUAUCCGGAUUUAUUGGGCGUAAAGCGCGUCUAGGUGGUUAUGUAAGUCUGAUGUGAAAAUGCAGGGCUCAACUCUGUAUUGCGUUGGAAACUGAAUAACUAGAGUACUGGAGAGGUAAGCGGAACUACAAGUGUAGAGGUGAAAUUCGUAGAUAUUUGUAGGAAUGCCGAUGGGGAAGCCAGCUUACUGGACAGAUACUGACGCUAAAGCGCGAAAGCGUGGGUAGCAAAACAGGAUUAGAUACCCUGGUAGUCCACGCUGUAAACGAUGAUUACUAGGUGUUUGGGGGUCGAACCUCAGCGCCCAAGCAAACGCGAUAAGUAAUCCGCCUGGGGGAGUACGUACGCAAGUAUAAAACUAAAAGGAAAUUGACGGGGAACCCGCACAAGCGGUGGAGCAAUGUGGUUUAAUUUCGACGAAACGCGAGGAACCUUACCAGCGUUUGACAUCUUAGGAAUGAGAUAGAGAUAUUUCAGUGUUCCUUUUCGGGGAAAACCUAAAGAACAGGUGGUGCAUGGCUGUACGUUCAGCUCGUGUCGUGAGAUGUUGGGUUAAGUUCCCGCAACGAGCGCAACCCCUUUCGUAUGUUACCAUCAUUAAAGUUGGGGAACUCAUGCGAUACUGCCUACGAUGAAGUAGGAGGAAAGGUGGGGAAUGAGACGCGAAGGUUCGAUCGUGCUCCACUAUACGCUGGGCUACGAGCGUGCUACGAAUGGGGAGAACGGA
rnacentral:rRNA from 1 species